AUUGAACGCUGGCGGCAGGCCUAACACAUGCAAGUCGAGCGGAGCGGCGGACGGGUGAGUAAUGCCUAGGAAUCUGCCUGGUAGUGGGGGAUAAGGUCCGGAAACGGGCGCUGAUACCACAUACUAUCAGAUGAGCCUAGGUCGGGUUGGCUAGUUGGUGGGGUAAAGGCCUACCAGGGCGACGAUCCGUAACUGGUCUGAGAGGAUGAUCAGCCACACUGGAACUGAGACACGGGCCAGACUCCUACGGGAGGCAGCAGUGGGGAAUAUUGGACAAUGGGCGAAAGCCUGAUCCAGCCAUGCCGCGUGUGUGAAGAAGGCCUUCGGAUUGUAAAGUACUUUAAGUGGGGAGGCGUUACCCACAGAAUAAGCACCGGCUAACUUCGUGCCAGCCGCCGCGGUAAUAC
rnacentral:rRNA from 1 species